GCUUGCGGCCUGCUGUAGGCCCUCGCGUCGCUGGCUUGCCCUCCGCGGGCACCCUAUGGCGCCGUGUGCUUGGCGGACGCGUCAGGGGAAGACGGUCCGCGGGGGGACGGCGCCGGGAAGGCUGCCGGUGUAUGACGGGGACGCGGCAGCUCCCUCGCAUCUGCGACCCAGCCCCAGCAGUGCGCAAUGGAGGCCGCGACGCGCGCGGGGGUCCCGCCUUCGAGGCAGCGUGAGGCGGGGGGGGGACUGGGUCCCGCCGCCUGGCGGCCCGGGCGGAGGGGAGCCUCGCCCGCACACCGCCCGCGUCGGACCUGCACAUUUUCGGGUUUUGGGUUUCUGCGUCUGCCGGCGCGAGAGGCGCGCUCACGGGCCCGGAAGGUCGGGGGAGCGGGAGGUCUCCGCGAGCCGGUGAGCACGCCCCGGCGCCGCUCCUUCCCUUCUCCGCGACGGCAAGAGCGGCGCGGUGCCGCGCUGGGGAGGGAGGCGUCCCUCGGCGCCUGCUGGGCUCCUUCCCCCGCGCGGGCGCAGUCGGCCCUGGGGAGCAGUUGACGCUCGCCCCGGGGGAUGAGGCCGGUGGCGCCUCCGUGCCCCUGUGCUGCCUGUGCCCCGGGCUCUCUGGGGUCUGGGAGUGGGUGAAAGGCGGCAGGGUCCCCGAGGUGAAGUGAGAACGGGAAGCAGACGCCUGCGUGGGAUGGUCGCGCCCCCUUCAGGAGAAGCGCUGCCGGGGUGGGCCGUGUCCAGCAGACUUAAUUGCAGGACAUCAUAACAAGGAGAGUAGUGCUUCAGUCUGAGGAGUAACAGUGAAGGAAAGUCGUCAAAAAUUAACGACCCUCAGCACCACAUAAAAAUAAGUAAAUAAGAUAAAGCUAACUGUGAAUAUACAUAAAAAUAUACGUAUACUUCGAAUUUGUAAGUAUAUAUUGUAAAUAUAUGUAUUGAAAACAUAUAUAUGUUAAAUUGUUGAACUUUUGUCCGUGCAGUUAUUUUGGUUAUUAUCUGGUAGUAUUCCGUGUUUGUCGUUGUAGAAGUAAAUGCCAAUGAGAUUAAAGGGGAGUGGUGGAAGUGGCCCUGAGGACAAGAUCAGGCCUGCAGGGACAGACACAGAUGGUGUUACAGCUGUUGACUUCAUGCAAUUUUGGCACCUGCUGCUGGACAGGCUAGGGAGCUGGCCAGAGCGGGCAUUGGCUCCCAGUCCCCCUGUUUAUCACUCUGGCCCACCUCAGCUUCCAGGGAGGCAUGAGAGGGAAAUAAGACCAGACCACUAUAGGAUAAGGGUGAAUUAGGUUCUGCUCUCUGUUCCAUCCUGCCAUGGAGCUGGACUUUUGUUUCCUACAAGGCCAGAAAUGAUCCCUGUGGCAGAGGGGACUGAAAGUGCUCUUGGGAUGGAUUUAUUUCAUCAGCAGUGCCACUAAGUGCUCCUGCUUCAGAGUUCUAACCCUCAAGAUGAUGGCCAUAGGAAGUGGGGUCUUUGGGACCACUGAGAGGCCAUGUGCCCCUUCCCACACACAAGGACACAACACUGAGCCAACAGUCAGACUUUUCCAGAUACCAGUUUUGGCUGGUGCCUUGGGCUUCAGCUUCCAGAACUGUGAGAAAUUUGUUUAUAAGCCACCCAUAUGGGUAUUUCUGCUGCAGCAGACUAAGCCAGUGUUAAGUGAGUGCCCCCCAAAAAAAGAUGGGCCUUGGUGGAACAGUCAUUAGAACUAGCCAGAAGGGUCUCACUGGCCAGAGCUCUGACUAUGUGAGCACUAGUAAGUGCUGACUGCUGGAUUAUGGCCACAAUACGGGGCAUUGCCAGUCUGCCAUGUGGGUGUGAGUGGUCCUCAAGUAAGUGGGAAAAUAGCACAAUUCUUCCUGAAUUCCAAUUAAGAAAAAUAUCACUGUGUGAGUUACUGGGUUCCAUCUCCAAUACUGGGGGGAAAAAACAAGUCAAUAAAUGUAGAAGGAAGCAGUCACCUUUAUUUGUGACAGGUAUGAAUCCACUGAUAGUUGCUAAAGUUAAGUAGCAAAAGUUUGAGGUGAAAUAGUGUUUGCAUGGUUUCUGAAUGUCUCCCCUAAAGUACUUAUUUUCCUAGCUUUCUAUUAUUGCUCCAACAGAUUGCUUCAAAUUUAGUGGUUUAGCUGGGCACAGAAGUGCACAUCUGUGAUCCCAGCUGCUUGGGAGGCUGAGGAAGGAGGAUCACAAGCUUAAGGCCAACAAUUUUUUUUUUUUCCUGGGCAUUGAACCCAGGGCCUUGUGCACACAAGGAAAGCACUCUACCAAUUGAGCUAUAUCCCCAGCCCUUAGGCCAGCUUUUUCGAGAGCUACACAGUUGUGGGUACAACAGAGCACCAUGCUGCCCGCUUCUGCUCCUGACUCACUGCUGUUCGCUCGCCAAGAAACUGCCACAGCCUUGGCAUUUAAAGACACCCAUGGAACCAGGGAUGGCAGGUCACCAAAUUAGAAUCACCCUCACCAGCGGCAAUGUGAAAUCACUUGAGAAAGUGUGUGCUGACUUGAUCAGAGGCUCAAAGGAGAAGAAUCUCAAAAUGAGGGAACCUGUUUGCAUGCCUACCAACACUUUGAGAAGCACCACAAGAAAAACACCUUGUGGUGAAGGCUCCAAGACAGGAUUGUCUGCAGAUGAGAAUCCACAAGGACUCAUCGACUUGCACAGCCCUUCUGCGAUUGUUGAGCAGAUUACUUCCACCAGCCAGGAGUGGAGGUGGAAGUCACCAUUGCAGAUGCCUAAGUAAACUGUUUUAAUAAAUUAUUAGUUGUUAAAAAAAAAAAGUGUAAGGCCAGACUGGGCAACUUGAUGAGAUCCUGUCUCAAAAAUUAUAGUUUUUAAAAAGUGCUGGGGGCGUGUGGCUCCAUUGUAGAAUACCCCUGAAUUCAAUUGCCAGCCAAAAAUAAAAAUCAAGGGCUCAAAAUAUGAAUUUAUUUUCUUAUUCCUCUGUAGGUGAGAAAUGAAGUCCAACCUCAGGCUUGCUGGGCUGAAAUCCAGGUACUGGCACAGCUAACGACUCCUGGGGGAUCCAGAGAGGAAUCCUUUCCUGCCUUUUGCACACCUGUCUCUCCCACUUUGAAGGACCCUCGUGAUGACAUUAGGCCUGUGGGGAUAAUGCAGGAAGCACCUCUUACAAUUGUAGACUGGCAGCUUCCAUUCGCUUGUGAGACAAAUCACAGAUUCCAUGGGUGAGGACGUGGGCAUCUUGGGAACCAUCAUUCUGCCUUCCACAAGAUUUAAUAGCUACCAAGGGAAAACUAGUAAUUUUAAAGUGGAGAAACCAGAUCAGAUCACCACCAAUGAGACUUGCUGAUCCCAGGAAACUGUGAGGUGAUACACUGAAAGACACACCUCAUUUCUCUGGUUCUCUUUGCCAGAAAUGCACAACCCAGGCCAGUCAUGAGAAACUCACGAAUAGUCAGCAAAGUAGCUAAUGGGUACUCCUCAGAGCACAAGGUAGUAAAAGGAGGAAAUGAACUGCCACAGGUUGAGGAGGCUGAGGAACACCCAAUGUGUGAGCUUCUGGCAACAUUAAUGGAAAAACAUUCACAUUGGCUUUGGUUGGGUUUGUAGCACACCAGUGGCAACUUUCUGAGGCUCACAAGGGGACCCUCAGCACAGGAGAUGGCCAUGGUCUCACAGAGGCCCUUAUUCUACUUGCCACGAGACGUAUUAGCUUUUAGAACAAUGAUGCACACCUUUCCCAGCACCUAGGAGGCUAAGGCAAGAGGACUGCUUCAGCCCAAAAGCUUGAGACCUGCCUGGGUAACUUGGAAAGACCUCAGUUCAAAAAGAAAAAAAAAACAAAAAACAGAUUUUGGUCUUGUGAGGGAUUCUGGUAGUGGGAAUUGAACUCUUGGCCUUGGCUAAGGCUUCAGUCUAUCACUGGCUGCAUCUCCAGCCUCCAGAAAGCAAUGAGCACCUGAGCCAGGCACUUAGGGCUCAGGUUGAUAAGAUGGUAGAAACCCACAGGAAGUGUCAGCAGAGUGCCACAGCUGGAGGACUGGGGGCUAUGGAGGGGAGUGAAGGCUUAGGUGGAACGGCCUCAUGGAGAGACAGUGACUUAAGUGCCCACUCCCUGCCCUGCAGUGCCCUCUGCAUGAUCAGGGUCAGGUUGCACUGAUGGCUCAAGUCAUCCCAUCUCCUACCCCACCCUCGCCAUGAUGCCCACUUGAGCUGGGAGAGAUGAGGCUUCUUUGUUUUAAGCCACCCCCUGUGGUGCUUGUUCCAGAUGCAGGACACACUCUGAGUGGGCAGUCAGCCACUUCUAAACACAAGUGUUUGUUCAAUUAGUUUUAAGCUCACUCAUGGAUAAGACAGGUGCAUGCUGCAUUAGGUUUUGGCUACAAGAUAGCUAUUACCUGCCAGGGAAAUCCAACCUUAGCUCCCUUUCCACUUCCCCUUCUCAGUCCCACAAAAGCCACACGUGGAUACCACUGGGUUCCAACCCUGGCUUGUUGCUCCCUCUGGAGGACUUUCUGAGACAAGGGUGCCCCCAUCUCUAGCUGGGCCCGGAUGACCACCUGCAGUCCUCCAAAGGUCUUCUGUCUGAUAAAAGCCAAGGCCCCUGUAGGCUGCAACCUGGCUUCUGGGACCCUAGCUAUGAGUUGUGAAAGAAUUGUGUCAUUGUCCUCCUACUUCACACCAAGAAGGAUCCUGCCCUCACACUUGGCUGCUGGGUGGAGUUGUCAUGGAUAAGAAGG
rnacentral:lncRNA from 1 species